AUUCCAGCUCCAAUAGCGUAUAUUAAAGUUGUUGCCGUUAAAAAGCUCGUAGUCGAACUUCGGUCCCUGUUGGUCGGUCCGCCUUCUUGGUGUGUACUUACUCAACGGGGACUUACCUCCUGGUGAACUGCGAUGUCCUUUACUGGGUGUCGUAGCGAACUAGGACGUUUACUUUGAAAAAAUUAGAGUGUUCAAAGCAGGCCUACGCCCGAAUACAUUAGCAUGGAAUAAUAGAAUAGGACGCGCGUUCCCAUUUUGUUGGUUUCUGAGAUCGCCGUAAUGAUUAAUAGGGAUAGUUGGGGGCAUUUGUAUUCUGUCGUCAGAGGUGAAAUUCUUGGAUUGCCGGAAGACAAACUAUUGCGAAAGCAUUUGCCAAGGAUGUUUUCAUCG
rnacentral:rRNA from 1 species